UCUCGAUAGCGUAAAAGUUAACUCACAGUUUGUAUGAAGUUGGAUCUUUUGCGUACGUUUGCCGCUAGGGGCGUUGUUCCAACUCCAUACAAAUUUGAAUUAACUUUUACUCAAUCGA
rnacentral:pre_miRNA from 9 species